rnacentral:rRNA from 1 species
GCUCCAAUAGCGCAUAUUAAAGUUGUUGCAGUUAAAAAGCUCGUAGUUGGAUUUGUGGUCGCCUACGUGGCCUCUCUGAGGCGCUAUGGUGGGGGUCCAUCCUUGGGCGGAUGUUGCGUGGCAUUCGGUUGUCGCGCAGGGGAUGCCAUCGUUUACUGUGAAAAAAUCAGCGCGUUCAAAGCAGGCUUAUGCCGUUGAAU